UCCCCUGACUCCGCUAUCUUUAAGAGCCCUAUCUAGCUCUCUCAAGAAAGUAUCCAGAGAACUGGUCUCCACCGCCCUCUGAGGCAGAGAAUUCCACACUCACAACUCUCUGUGAGAAAAGAGACUUAAAAGAGAUUUAAAAGGGACACAAAAUGCUGGAGUAACUCAGCGGGACAGGCAGCAUCUCUGGAGAGAAGGAAUGGGUGACGUUUCGGGUCGAGACCCUUCUUCAGACCAUUUAAAAGACAUUUGGAGAGAAAAGGGUCUGAGGGAUAUGGGCCAAAUGCGGGCAGGUGAGAUUAAUUUAGACGGGGCAUGUUGGUCGGCAUGGAUGACUGAUGCUGAAAGGGUCCGUCUGCACUCUGUGUGUCUCUAAGACUCUAGAUAGCACUCGAAACAAAGCCUGUCGCUGUAUGUCUGUAGGCGUGACGAUAAUAAACUGAGCCAAGCAGCUCUGCAUUAGGUUUCACCUGUCAUAUGUCCACACCUUUUAGCAACCUGAGUCGUGAUUGUAUCUUUGAGGUGCUGACGGAUAAAUCAGCAGAACGAGAGAGCAGGAGACUGGAAGACGGCACGGUGGCGCAGCGGUAGAGUUGCUGCCUCACAGCGCCAGAGACCCGGGUUCCAUCCCGACUACGGGUGCCGUCUGUACUUUCUCCCCGUGACCUACGUGCGUUUUCUGCGGGCGCCCCUGGUCUCCUCCCACACCCCAAAGACGUACAGGCGUUUCUCCAAGAUGCCUGCACAUAUCUGCCAAUGAGAAGGAAAACUGGGCCAAAUUUAAGCUGGACUAACUUUGGCAAAGAAAGGAAGAAGUUGGCUCCCCACCGCGCCUUCAGUGCAAAUAUUCAGGGGACCUCAAAACCAAUUAAGAACAUUGAAAUGCCGCCAUUUUACGAUUUGCCAAAAAAGCCCAGAAUAAGAAUUCCCGAAAGCAAAUGAGACCAAUAAUAAAUUCAUCUGCUUCUCACGUCACUGGGCAGGAUAUCAG